UUUAAAAAAGUAAUCAAAUUACUGUAACGCUACUCCCAAAACUGUGCGUCACUGAGUAAAUGAACCAUGCAGUUAAUGUAAAGAUAUCUAUGCAAACACCACCACCACAGAAUAGUUCUGUCUUUGUUAGGCUCAGACACUUCAACAUCAGACAUCAGAACUGCACUGGAGAUUCACUAGACUGGAUUCAUCACAAGAGAUGAUGAAAAAUAGAUUAACAGAAACUAAUUCAUGGGAGAAGAUCUGUGCAGCAUCACAAACUGAAGGAGAAUUAAACAGAGAGGAAAAGAAAAAUGUCAAACAAAGAGGACGAGGUAAAAUGUACUGAACCAGAAGAGAAAAACCUCUUGAGACGAGUCAGACGGAACAGUAUUAAUAGUGGAAGACCAAGCUUUUCUGAUGAUGCAGACAGGUUUAUUCAGAGUGACUCUCAGAUGAGACAGGAGCAGCUUCUUUCGUCUGACCAGCAGAAUAUUCUUUAUAUUCAGUCUCUAACAAAACACUGCUUUAUUUUAGAUCGUUUGUUCUAUUUUUGUGUUACUAUCUUUUCAAAGUAUUAUAGACUAUAUAAUUAGCCAAUAUCAACUUCAUUCACUGUAUAAUGUAUAAUUAUUUCAUUUAUUUUUUUUCAAAACUAAU